UGGACUCUCAACUCAAGCGCUCUGAUAUUGACACCUGUCCUCCUGAAAGUGCUACUUAGUUUACCAUCAGAAUCAUGUUCAUCGCGUCAUGUUGUAUGUUGUAUGGAUCUAAAGCUGUAAUUUAAUGAUGCUAAUGAACUUGUAUGGAUCUAAAGCUGUAAUUUAAUGAUGCUAAUGAACUUGUUGUCAAAAUGAUUUCAACACUGAUACAAAUAAUGCCAAGAUUAGUUCACGUGCAUGUCUUGCUUCAC
rnacentral:lncRNA from 1 species